rnacentral:rRNA from 1 species
UGGCUUGCGUCUGAUUAGCUAGUUGGUAGGGUAAUGGCCUACCAAGGCGAUGAUCAGUAGCUGGUCUGAGAGGAUGGUCAGCCAGAUGGGGACUGAGACACGGCCCCAACUCCUACGGGAGGCAGCAGCAAGGAAUUUUGGGCAAUGAGCGAAAGCUUGACCCAGCGACACCGCGUGAGGGAAUAAGGCCUUCGGGUUGUAAACCUCUUUUCUUGGGGAAGUGACGGUACCCAAGGAAUAAGCCUCGGACAACUACGCGCCAGCAGCCGCGGUAAUACGUAGGAGGCAAACGUUAUUCGGAUUUACUGGGCGUAAAGGGAGCGUACGCGGUUCCUUAAGUCGGAUGUGAAAUCUUCUGGCUCAACCAGAAGGCGCCAUUUGAUACUGAGGGACUUGAGAGCAGCAGAGGGAAAUGGAAUCUCCAGUGUAGCGGUGAAAUGCGUAGAU